rnacentral:lncRNA from 1 species
GGAAGUCUAGAGCAGAUCCACACACCUUGGAGGCGGUUCCUUGGAUGCUUAGGCUCCAUUAUACCAAUUUUAGUUUUUUUUCUUCUAUUCUUUCAUCAUAUUUCAUCUAGAUUCACCAUGACAAUGGUGAACUAAACCCUUUUGUUGUUGGGGGAAACAAUGUAAUCUUUUGAAACUCUCUUUUAUUGAAAUUCUUAUUUGAUUUAUAUGCUUGCAUAUUCUUAUUUUAUCAAUUGUUGAAUUCCUUACCAAUGCUUAAUGCUUUUACCGUUUAACUCAUUCGGUAACUGUUGUUUGUCUUGAUUGAUACGGAGACG